rnacentral:lncRNA from 1 species
ACAGUUAUGUCCACUGAGCGGCGCCGUAGUCCGCAUUUUUAAGUUAGACAUGCGCGUGAAGGAGAGUUGGAAGCUUGAAUCCUUCCUUUAGCAAAUGCACGGUGUCAUGUAUGUGUUAAACAGUUGAACAAUGAUCGGGAGAGUGAACAACAGUUAUUUAAAAUGAAACUGCAGGGUGGAGAUAACUCUGUGUAUGAGUUGUUAGCGAUUCAUUCACCUACCUACCGCCGACACAGUCAAACAGUGUUGGUGCCUGUGGUUGUUGUGCCUAUGGAAGGCAGGGUCCUGGUCCUUUGUUCCAUCAUUCACACGUGAGAGAGACCAGACACCCAGAGGCCCAUCCACGCAGGGAGAAGCACAAACCAGGCUGAGGCAG